rnacentral:rRNA from 1 species
AUCGAACGCUGGCGGCAUGCCUAACACAUGCAAGUCGAGCGAGCGGCGGACGGGUGCGUAAUGUCUGGGAAACUGCCUGAUGGCGGGGGAUAACUACUGGAAACGGUAGCUAAUACCGCAUACCAUCAGAUGUGCCCAGAUGGGGUUAGCUAGUGGGUGGGGUAACGGCUCACCUAGGCGACGAUCCCUAGCUGGUCUGAGAGGAUGACCAGCCACACUGGAACGGAGACACGGUCCAGACUCCUACGGGAGGCAGCAGUGGGGAAUAUUGGACAAUGGGCGCAAGCCUGAUGCAGCCAUGCCGCGUGUGUGAAGAAGGCCUUCGGGUUGUAAAGCACUUUCAGCGGGGAGGCGGUACCCGCAGAGGAAGCACCGGCUAACUCCGUGCCAGCAGCCGCGGUAAUAC